AGUUCUGGAAACAGAGGCUUCAGGAAAAGGAGCAUAGCAAUUAAUAUGUUGAAGGGUGGCCGCUGCCGCAGUGCUAAGAAUAAAACCUCUAGGAGAGACCCAGUCCGGUGUAGCUAGCUGACCCACCGGCGGGCUCAGGGUACCCUGUUCCACCAGGGUAAAUUCCAGAGGAAGUGGCUUUAGCUGGGUCGCUGCAUCUUUGCCCUUCCUGGGUGUGGAUAGAGUUGAACAGCCUGGGAGACAGAGCCACAGUGAUCCCGGGUGACUGACAAUUGAAACCAGCCGUAGGCGGUCUCAGUGAAAUUUGCGUUUGGUUUUACAAAUGCCACUGUAGAGUAAGCCUUCAUCCCAGACAGGGACGACAUUCAGCAAUUUAGAGGAAGCUGUGGGGAUGAGGACUAGGGUACUUAAAUAGUUCACCCCUGCUACUGGAGUUGUCUGACUUCCGGUGGACACACGUGUGUGUAAAUCCUACAAACAACAUUUGGAAAGAGAACUCUUUAUUUAAAGCCACACCACCAGCUCCAUUUUUCCAUUAACUGAGCUCAAGGUUCCUUUUUGGCUGUGAUAUUCAUAGAUCCUUGACAUUUCUUCCAUUGUGAGUCUAUAGUGGCGGGAUUAAUUUAAAACUCAACUUUAAUAGCCAUCUGAUUUCUUUACUGAAUCAAAAAUAGAUAAACUAGUGCUACUACCUACAGUCAUUCCUGGUAGUAUUAUCAAAUGGACUGUCUUCUCUGCCCGGUCUGUCCAGAACUGGUAUUGCAAUGAAAUAUUAAGUAUUUGUUUUUGUUUUUCUUUCCUUCUCAGUAUUGGCAUAAAGGAUGUUUCCACUGCGAGGUCUGCAAGAUGGCUCUCAACAUGAACAACUACAAAGGCUAUGAAAAGAAGCCCUAUUGCAAUGCGUAAGUCCUGCCAGUAUGGUACCAGGCGUGGCCCAGCAUGAGUGCUUAAGUUCAUAGACAUGCCUCUUCUAAAGAACUGACUCACUGUGCCACCCAGGCAUGCAGGUGGCCAAUUACCUGUUUAUGCCACAGACUCCAUGGUCAUUUACUACGUUGAAGAUCACUGUAUUUCUGUCUUGCCAAUGUGUAGGGUAAUUCGUGUGACUUCUCCACCAGGUUAGCUUUUGAGGCUCACAGCAUUGCAGACUUAGGGACAAUUAUUAGAAGCUGCAGAAUUUACCCACUGAAAAUGUGUGGGCUCUGACAUGCAUGUCAGAUAGAUUUCCAUUUUAAUCACAUGCCAAUUUCCGCUGAAAUCAUAGGAUGUUGCUAUCUUGCAAUUUUAUAUCUGAACCUUGUUGCUAGGAGCCUCAUUUGCUUGGUCUUCACCGAGACCAUCAUCCCGGGCAUCCUGGGGUUUAUACAGGGUGUGAUAAGAAUCAUGAUUCUACCCGGUUAGUAUUGGAUCUGUAGUCACAGGUCUUCUGUAGUAGACAGCGUACUUCCAGGGAAAUGAAGCACCCGUGCCUCUUUGAUGGGCUUCCUGGAGGGCACGUUCUAGGCAAUAAUAGCUAGCUUUGACAAAUAGCAUUUACCAUGAGUCAGGUCAUGUUAAGAGUACUUUAUGUAUGUGGAAUUACUUAAUCUUUACCAAUUCCUGCAAAUAAUGAGGGUCAGUUUUAUUACCCCCUACCAUAACAGAUGUGAAACCAAAGCUUGGGGGAGCUAAGCUUCAGGGUAGGACUUAGAUCACUUCCAGAGGCUGUGAGUGGCUCCACACUGGGCUGAACUUUCAAGGCCUCUGUUAUUACCUUGGGGUCUGUGUUUCUUCAUUCCCCUGAGCGUUCCUUGGGUCACACAAUGGUCAUUUAGUCCUGAUUGUUGAUCUUUCUCUUCCCAGUUCCCCUGUGGUCAUGACCAGGCCUAGAGGUGACCCAGAGACCUCUAGACAGACACUAACCUUUUAGCUGGCAUAUUGGGCCAGCUUCCUCCUCCCCAGCAUGUCAGAAGCAGCUGCACAGGCCUCUGGGAGACUGAGGGCCUGUCUGUGUUCAUCCUGUACAGAGAGUAUAUCAUAGUCAGCAGGUGCUUGAUAGACAAUGUGCUCAGACCUCUGGUGCAGAACUUUAAAAAUAUCUGGGGGCUGGGAAGGUGGCUUGGUGGAAAAGAGCGCUUGUGUCAUAAGCAUCAGUGCCUGUAACCUCAGCAUUGUGGGGAGUAGAGACUGGGGGACCAAUGGAACAUGCUGGCCAUUAACCUAGGCAGGUUCCAUGAGAGACUGUGUGUCAAGGGAAGAAGAUGGGGACUGAAAAGUAGUACCUCCUCUAGUCUCUUUGUGCAUGCUCAUAAGUUUCUCUCAGAUUCCUGCAGCUACACACAUACAGCAUGGUAGAGAAUUACAGCUUUUUUUUCUCUUGAGUUUCUUUUGGGUCUAGUCUAGUGUUCCCAGGUAUACAGCAGCUUUCCUGGAACUUAGAAUUCUGAGGACUGAAGAGAAUUCAGGGUUUCUGUGGAUAACUAUAGCACACAGAUAUUCCUCAAAUCUGUUCUCAACGUUCCCAGACCAUAUAUACCUUAAUUAAAAAAAAAAAAAACAAAGCAAAAAUGAGACUUUCUUUGGUCUUCUGCUUCCUUAAAAAGGAUAAACAAUUGGUUCUAGAUCAAAGGCAGGUGCAGCAAGAAGAGAAGGGACUGACAACUCAUAAACAAGAUAAUUAUUCUUUAGGUAAAGGAAAGUAGCUUGUGGUCUAACGGCCCCAGCUUUAUGGGCCAUUCAGUAUCAGGAAGGAUCCUGAACAGCUCUGGCACCUGGAGCUUCACUCAGUGCAUAACAAGGUCUUCUGGGUUCCCCAGAUGGCCUUAGAGGG
rnacentral:lncRNA from 1 species